CAGCAGUAGCCGCGGGAAUACGGAGGGGGCUAGCGUUGUUCGGAAUUACUGGGCGUAAAGCGCACGUAGGCGGCUUUGUAAGUUAGAGGUGAAAGCCCGGAGCUCAACUCCGGAAUUGCCUUUAAGACUGCAGAGCUAGCAGGUGAGAGAGGUGAGUGGAAUUCCGAGUGUAGAGGUGAAAUUCGUAGAUAUUCGGAAGAACACCAGUGGCGAAGGCGGCUCACUGGCUCAUACUGGACGCUGAGGUGCGAAAGCGUGGGGAGCAAACAGGAUUAGAUACCCCCGUAGUCCCUGUCUCUUAUAC
rnacentral:rRNA from 1 species